GCCUCUGACCUUGACCUCGUUAUUACAGUUGGGGAGGAGCUGGAGGGAAUGUGACAGAAGAGCCAGCCUGCGAUCAGCAGCGGGAAGAGCGAAGAGCGCAUGCAAAGGCCACAGGGUAAAGUCUCUGGGACUUCCUGAAGGACUGGACCCGAGGCGUGAAAAGCACAGAGGAAUCAAGGAUGACUCGGAGGUUUCCGGCCUGAGCAACCAUAAGGCUCAAGUUGCCAUGACGGGAGGCUGAAAGAGCAAGUGGAUCUGGGACGUGUCGAGUCUGAGAUGUCUGAUCGACAUGGAAGAGCUCUCUUCCCUCUGCCAGCCAUCCUGCUCACUGCUACCAACGCUGGAAAAUACAACUCUGGUAUAAGGC